rnacentral:rRNA from 1 species
UACGAAGGGGGCUAGCGUUGUUCGGAAUUACUGGGCGUAAAGCGCACGUAGGCGGAUCGAUCAGUCAGGGGUGAAAUCCCGCAGCUCAACUGCGGAACUGCCUUUGAUACUGUCGAUCUAGAGUAUGGAAGAGGUGAGUGGAAUUCCGAGUGUAGAGGUGAAAUUCGUAGAUAUUCGGAGGAACACCAGUGGCGAAGGCGGCUCACUGGUCCAUUACUGACGCUGAGGUGCGAAAGCGUGGGGAGCAAACAGG